rnacentral:sRNA from 1 species
CAAGACAACAGAAAGGAAGGACAACAAGAACGAUGAGGAUAGCACCACAGACAGGAGCCUCCCUGGGCCAACCUUAUGGCAGUUCACAUUGCGUACAUGCUUUGGACUCAACCAAAUACCCAAAGCCACCCCUAGGCAGAUCCAACAGGCUCAUCAGGGCCCUUCUAUGUUACGACAGGAAGUGAUUCUGGUGGAGCCUGGGCCAUUCCAACUCCUCUUCCUCCUGCGCUCGUCCUCUCGGCACUCACUAUCUGACUGGUCUACCUCGAAGCCCCAGGCUCCACCUCUCCACGCCAGAGUGAUGGACAGUGUGCUCCGUGUAGAGAAGAUCAUCUGGUAACGGGCAGUCAUUGUUCCUUCACCCCCUUGGGGCGAAGGCCUUCUAGCUGAGUGCCUCUGUUGACCUCUCCCAUGAUGCCAUGCAGGUCACUAAGCUUUAAUAACCUAAAGCAUUGAGCAACAAUAAGGCGUUACCACACAUCUAACGGGUAAAGGGAGUUGGCGAUCCAGGAAGAAGGGCUGCCAUGGAAACAGCCUCUGCAUGAGGGAUGGCGCCUCUGCAUCGGGAUGUGGAAGAAGCCAUUGUCAUCACACAAGAGAGGAGGCAGAGUGAGGAGAGCAAUGGGCAUGAGAAUGACAACAAUGUUACAGAAGUCAAGAGAGACGAAAAACAACUCCAGAUUUAUGUUGCCCACAGAUCUUUUCUGCAAACACUGCCCUCAAAACAAAGUCGUAAAUGAAGGAGAGCACAAGAGGCUUCAAAGACAUCAAAAGAUGGCAGAGUAUGGCCACUUUGGUCUCAGGGCAAUCCUCCUUUAGAUGAAAGUCACAAGCUCUUGCGAUCUUACCAGAAAGAUGCCAUGAUUUAACUCUGUGGUAUGUACUCUGUAUCUCCGUGCUGGUUUUAAAAUACCUUUUAAUCUACGCGAGCACAGGCAUUCGGCAAGUGUUGUAUAAAUGCUAUUUUUCUCCUUCCCUUCAGCCCAGGAAGCUGGUUCUAUUAUUCUAUUAUUUGGGUUGAAACCGUGAUUUUGAUCCAAUCCUCUCAUAAACCACAAAACAAAAGAAGAUCACGUUUCUUUGUUUUUUCGUUCUACAACUUUGACUUUAUGGAAUUCAAUAGCGGCUGGUUUUCCGGCAGAUACUGCAGCGGUGUGCACGAUUAUUACCAUCUAGCGUUUAUUGAGCACUCACCCAGGGAAGGACGAGGCACUAGACACCAUGCGCGAGAUAUUUAAAAGACAAGCAGCUAUGGCAACCUGCAGACAAGAAUUAUCGAUAGAAAGAAACAACUCGGCUUUCUUUGGGAGAUACUUAAUUGCAUCUGGACAUAUUUACAUA